rnacentral:rRNA from 1 species
UAGUCCACGCCGUAAACGAUGGAUACUAGAUGUCAGGGGCUCUUGCCCCCUUGGUGUCGUAGCUAACGCGUUAAGUAUCCCGCCUGGGGACUACGGCCGCAAGGCUAAAACUCAAAGAAAUUGACGGGGGCCCGCACAAGCGGUGGAGGAUGUGGUUUAAUUCGAUGCAACGCGAAGAACCUUACCUGGACUUGACAUCCCGCGCUAUCUUAGGAAACUAAGAGUUCUCUUCGGAGACGCGGUGACAGGUGCUGCAUGGCUGUCGUCAGCUCGUGUCGUGAGAUGUUGGGUUAAGUCCCGCAACGAGCGCAACCCUUACCGUUAGUUGCUACCCUUAUGGGAGCACUCUAAUGGGACCGCUUGCUGAUAAGGCAGAGGAAGGAAGGGAUGACGUCAAGUCAGCAUGGCCCUUACGUCCAGGGCCACACACGUCCUACAAUGGAUAGUACAGAGCGUCGCUAAGCCGUAAGGUGGUGCUAAUCGCAAAAAGCUAUCCUCAGUUCGGA